rnacentral:rRNA from 1 species
GCCUUCGGCGGCCUAUACAUGCAGUCGGACGGGAUUGAGGAGCUUGCUCUUCAUGAGAGUGGCGCACGGGUGCGUAACACGUAUGUAACCUACCUUGUUCAGGGGGAUAGCCUCUCGAAAGAGAGAUUAACACCGCAUAAAAUCAAUUUAUGGCAUCAUAGAAUGAUCAAAUAUUUAUAGGAACAAGAUGGGCAUGCGGAACAUUAGCUAGUUGGUAAGGUAACGGCUUACCAAGGCUACGAUGUUUAGGGGAUCUGAGAGGAUGACCCCCCACACUGGUACUGAGACACGGACCAGACUCCUACGGGAGGCAGCAGUAAGGAAUAUUGGUCAAUGGACGCAAGUCUGAACCAGCCAUGCCGCGUGCAGGAAGACGGCCCUACGGGUUGUAAACUGCUUUUGUACCGGAAUAAACCUUUGGUCGUGACCGAAGCUGAAUGUACGGUAAGAAUAAGGAUCGGCUAACUCCGUGCCAGCAGCCGCGGUAAUACGGAGGAUCCAAGCGUUAUCCGGAUUUAUUGGGUUUAAAGGGUGCGUAGGUGGCCUAUUAAGUCAGGGGUGAAAGACGGUAGCUUAACUAUCGCAGUGCCUUUGAUACUGAUGGGCUUGAAUACACUUGAGGUAGGCGGAAUGUGACAAGUAGCGGUGAAAUGCAUAGAUAUGUCACAGAACACCAAUUGCGAAGGCAGCUUACUAAAGUGUUAUUGACACUGAGGCACGAAAGCGUGGGGAUCAAACAGGAUUAGAUACCCUGGUAGUCCACGCCCUAACGAUGAAUACUCGAUGUUGGCGAUAUACGGUCAGCGUCUAAGCGAAAGCGUUAAGUAUUCCACCUGGGGAGUACGCCCGCAAGGGUGAAACUCAAAGGAAUUGACGGGGGCCCGCACAAGCGGAGGAGCAUGUGGUUUAAUUCGAUGAUACGCGAGGAACCUUACCCGGGCUUGAAAGUUAGUGAAUGUGACAGAGACGUCACAGUCCUUCGGGACACGAAACUAGGUGCUGCAUGGCUGUCGUCAGCUCGUGCCGUGAGGUGUUGGGGUAAGUCCCCGCAACGAGCGCAACCCCUUAUGUUUUAG